UACGUAGGUGGCAAGCGUUGUCCGGAUUUACUGGGCGUAAAGAGCGCGCAGGCGGUCGGAUAAGUCGAAUGUGAAAGCCCCCGGCUCAACUGGGGAGGGCCAUUCGAUACUGUUCGACUCGAAGGCAGGAGAGGGAAGUGGAAUUCCCGGUGUAGUGGUGAAAUGCGUAGAUAUCGGGAGGAACACCAGUGGCGAAGGCGACUUCCUGGCCUGUUCUUGACGCUGAGGCGCGAAAGCUAGGGGAGCAAACGGG
rnacentral:rRNA from 1 species